rnacentral:rRNA from 1 species
GACGAACGCUGGCGGCGUGCUUAACACAUGCAAGUCGAACGGAAAGGCCUGCUUUCCCUUGUGGAUUGCGGGUACUCGAGUGGCGAACGGGUGAGUAACACGUGAGUGAUCUGCCCCCAACUUGGGUAUAAGCCUGGGAAACUGGGUCUAAUUCCCGAUAGGACUGCAGGGUGGUGCCUGUGGUGGAAAACGAUUUUCUAGUGGUUGGGGAUGAGCUCGCGGCCUAUCAGCUUGUUGGUGGGGUAAUGGCCUACCAAGGCGGCGACGGGUAGCCGGCCUGAGAGGGUGGACGGCCACAUUGGGACUGAGAUACGGCCCAGACUCCGACGGGAGGCAGCAGUGGGGAAUAUUGCACAAUGGGCGGAAGCCUGAUGCAGCGACGCAGCGUGGGGGAUGACGGCCUUCGGGUUGUAAACUCCUUUCGACCGCGAGGAAGCCACCUGGUUGGAAGGGUGGUGACGGUAGUGGUAGAAGAAGCACCGGCUAACUACGUG